rnacentral:rRNA from 1 species
UACGUAGGGUGCAAGCGUUAAUCGGAAUUACUGGGCGUAAAGCGUGCGCAGGCGGUUUUGUAAGUCUGUCGUGAAAGCCCCGGGCUCAACCUGGGAAUUGCGAUGGAGACUGCAAGGCUUGAAUCUGGCAGAGGGGGGUAGAAUUCCACGUGUAGCAGUGAAAUGCGUAGAGAUGUGGAGGAACACCGGUGGCGAAGGCGGCGACCUGGGUCGAGACUGACGCUGAGGCGCGAAAGCGUGGGGAGCAAACAGG